rnacentral:rRNA from 1 species
AGCAGCCGCGGUAAUUCCAGCUCCAAUAGCGUAUAUUAAAGUUGUUGCAGUUAAAAAGCUCGUAGUUGAAUUUUGGGGUCAGUAGGUUGGUCAUGCCUCCGGUAUGUACUGGUCUCACUGAUUCCUCCUUCCUGAUGAGCCGUAAUGCCAUUAAUUUGGUGUUGCGGGGAAUCUGGACUGUUACCUUGAAAAAAUUAGAGUGUUUAAAGCAAGCUAACGCUUGAAUACAUUAGCAUGGAAUAAUGGAAUAGGACGUUCGAUCCUAUUUUGUUGGUUUCUAGGAUUGACGUAAUGAUUAAUAGGGAUAGUUGGGGGCAUUAGUAUUCAAUUGUCAGAGGUGAAAUUCUUGGAUUUAUUGAAGACUAACUACUGCGAAAGCAUUUGCCAAGGAUGUUUUCAUUAAUCAAGAACGAAAGUUAGGGGAUCGAAGACGAUCAGAUACCGUCGUAGUCUUAACCAUAAACUAUGCCGACUAGGGAUCGGAUGAUGUUAAUUUUUUAAUGACUCAUUCGGCGCCUUACG